UGGGGAAUAUUGCGCAAUGGGCGAAAGCCUGACGCAGCAACGCCGCGUGAGUGAUGAAGGCCUUCGGGUCGUAAAGCUCUGUCGGAGGGAACGAAUGCUCCUGAAGUUAACAGCCUCAGGAGGUGACGGUACCCUCAAAGGAAGCACCGGCUAACUCUGUGCCAGCAGCCGCGGUAAUACGUAGGGACCAAGCGUUGUUCGGAUUUACUGGGCGUAAAGGGCGCGUAGGCGGCAUGACAAGUCACUUGUGAAAUCUCUGGGCUUAACCCAGAACGGCCAAGUGAUACUGUCGCGCUAGAGUGCAGAAGGGGCAAUCGGAAUUCUUGGUGUAGCGGUGAAAUGCGUAGAUAUCAAGAGGAACACCUGAGGUGAAGACGGGUUGCUGGGCUGACACUGACGCUGAGGCGCGAAAGCCAGGGGAGCAAACGGGAUUAGAUACCCACGUAGUCCCUGAGCGGGCUGGCAAGGCGCAU
rnacentral:rRNA from 1 species